UGGGGAAUAUUGCACAAUGGGCGAAAGCCUGAUGCAGCAACGCCGCGUGAACGAUGAAGGUCUUCGGAUCGUAAAGUUCUGUUGCAGGGGAAGAUAAUGACGGUACCCUGUGAGGAAGCCCCGGCUAACUACGUGCCAGCAGCCGCGGUAAUACGUAGGGGGCUAGCGUUAUCCGGAUUUACUGGGCGUAAAGGGUGCGUAGGUGGUCCUUCAAGUCGGUGGUUAAAGGCUACGGCUCAACCGUAGUAAGUCGCCGAAACUGGAGGACUUGAGUGCAGGAGAGGAAAGUGGAAUUCCCAGUGUAGCGGUGAAAUGCGUAGAUAUUGGGAGGAACACCAGUAGCGAAGGCGGCUUUCUGGACUGCAACUGACACUGAGGCACGAAAGCGUGGGGAGCAAACAGGAUUAGAUACCCUGGUAGUCCACGCCGUAAACGAUGUCGACUAGCCGUUGGGAUCCUUGAGAUCUUAGUGGCGCAGCUAACGCGAUAAGUCGACCGCCUGGGGAGUACGGCCGCAAGGUUA
rnacentral:rRNA from 1 species